AUGGCCGCAGUACCCUAACUGUGCUAAGGUAGCAUAAUAAUUUGCCUUUUAAUUAAAGGCUAGUAUGAAAGAUUUGACGAAAGAAUAUCUAUCUCAGCUUAUUAAAAAAAAAUUAACUUGAGAGUUAAAAGGCUUUCAUAUCCUAAGGGGACGACAAGACCCUAUAAAGCUUUAUUUAUAUAUUUUUAUUUACUUCAAUAAAAAAUACAAAUUUAUAAAUUUUAUUGGGGCGAUAAAUAAACAAACAUUAUUAAUCACAACGUUUUUAACGAAAUUUAUAGAACGUUUAUAAAAACUUAUAACAAGUUACUUUAGGGAUAACAGCAUAAUUUCUUUUAAAAGUUCCUAUCGACAAAGAAGAUUAUGACCUCGAUGUUGAAUUGAGUUACUCCUUUUAAGCAGCCCUAAAAGGUAGAAGUCUGUUCGACCCUUAAA
rnacentral:rRNA from 1 species